rnacentral:rRNA from 1 species
GGAAUGCCACGCUGAUGCGAUUUCGGUCAAAUCAUGUGGCAUUCGAGUGGCGGACGGGUGAGUAACGCGUGGGUAACCUGCCUUACACAGGGGGAUAACACCUGGAAACAGGUGCUAAUACCGCAUAAGCGCACAGGGCCGCAUGGCCCGGUGUGAAAAACUCCGGUGGUGUAAGAUGGACCCGCGUCUGAUUAGCUUGUUGGCGGGGUAGGGGCCCACCAAGGCGACGAUCAGUAGCCGGCCUGAGAGGGUGGACGGCCACAUUGGGACUGAGACACGGCCCAAACUCCUACGGGAGGCAGCAGUGGGGGAUAUUGGACAAUGGGGGAAACCCUGAUCCAGCGACGCCGCGUGAGUGAAGAAGUAUUUCGGUAUGUAAAGCUCUGUCAGCAGGGAAGAAAGAAAUGACGGUACCUGACCAAGAAGCCCCGGCUAACUACGUGCCAGCAGCCGCGGUAAUACGUAGGGGGCAAGCGUUAUCCGGAAUUACUGGGUGUAAAGGGAGCGUAGACGGUGAUGCAAGUCUGGAGUGAAAGGCGGGGGCCCAACCCCCGGACUGCUCUGGAAACUGUGUAACUUGAGUGCAGGAGAGGUAAGCGGAAUUCCUAGUGUAGCGGUGAAAUGCGUAGAUAUUAGGAGGAACACCAGUGGCGAAGGCGGCUUACUGGACUGUAACUGACGUUGAGGCUCGAAAGCGUGGGGAGCAAACAGGAUUAGAUACCCUGGUAGUCCACGCCGUAAACGAUGAUUACUAGGUGUCGGUGGGUAUGGACCCACCGGUGCCGCAGCAAACGCAGUAAGUAAUCCACCUGGGGAGUACGUUCGCAAGAAUGAAACUCAAAGGAAUUGAC